AGUCUUGAUCUGGCUGUGAGAGGGAGAGCAGUGUGUCCGCUGCCCGGGGGAUAAGUGUUUUUGUUUAUGUUGAUCAAAGCGGUUUUCUCGUAAUAUUUCGACGACGUCUGCUUGUCUUCAACCCUGCCCUGCUGCCACCAGGAAUGUCAGAGAGCUGGCCAUGUUUGACUAAAAGGACAGCUGAGCGACUCAAGUGAGAAAGGGAAAUAAAAGAAAAAGAAAAAUUAAAUAGUAAAAGGAAAAAGAAAAGUGGGAAUAAAGAAAAAGAAAAAAAUUGUGACGUUUGUGAAGCGAAAUUUGAUGGUGAAUGAAGUGACCAGAGGGCAGUGAAUCGACGGAGAGAGAAAGGGAAAGAAGAGAGAAUAAGAAAGAGUGAAAGAAAGGCGAUAGAUAGAGCGUGAGAGAAUCGAUACAGAAAGUGGCGAACAUUUUGGCAAAAGGUUUUUCGCGAGGUGAGGUUCGAGCACCAUUGCUGACACGUGCAACUGGAGGAAAGGAAAAGAAAUAAAAGCAAAAUAACAAACAAUAAAAAAAUCCUCCGAAUGCAACCAGAAGCUAACAUCUAAAAGUAGAGAAAGAGAGACAGAUAAAAAAAGAAAAAGAAGAAAGAGAAAAGAGAAAGACACCCAAGACCAGAAGAGAUAGAAAAAACAACAAAAAGGCAAAAGUAAAAAAAAGAAAGCAAACACAAACAAACAAACAGAAAAAAAACGUUUUGAUCUUCGAGAGAUCAGUCAGUGCUUAAUCCUUUGUGAUUCUUAGGCUCAACGUUUUUGACCUCUGUGGGGUUGGUUGUCUCAAUGCGUCUCAACGUUCUUGUUGAAUAGGCGUUCGUCCUCCUGUGGUUGGCGACGACUUAGGCUUCGUAGAAAGAAAUCUCAUUGUUGUGUUUUAUUUUUCUUUCAAUUCUUUGCUAUUUUCGCUCUCAAUCGGCUUGUGUCAAGGUUGUGUUUGUUCAGAUAUAUAUACACAUAUAUUCUAUGAAGGCAUUUUUUUGGGACAUAAGGAAAAUAUUUUAAAAAAGGAGAUUUUAAGAUAUUGCUAAAUGUAUGUGUUGUCCUUUAAAAAAUAUAAUUGUCAUUAAGUGGGAUUUUUAUUCUCGCCUGUGAUAUUGCCACCAAAUCAUCGUUGGUUCCAUUGCUGUUUGUAAAACUGGUGUUCGUCGUUGUGGACUAUUAAAAAAAAAGUUGAAAAAAGCCAGUGUUAUUCCUAUAGGCUUCUAGAGCUCCACUGAAUACAACUUGAUCCGUUUUUUUAUACAUAUAUAUACGUGUAUAGAAGGGACAAUACAUGUAUGAUACAAUGCAUUUACGAUUUCAAUGACUGUGUUGACAUUCUGAUCGUGUUUACAUAGAGCGUUUGAAAUCCACCCUCCCCCCACCCCCUUGACAUCACCCCCCCCUUAGAAUCUUACAGUCCUCUCUUCCGAACCGAAAAAAACAAAUAGAAA